GAUCGUAAUGGUAGUAGCAAAUAUUCAAGUUCGAUCCUUGAAGACUGAAGUGGAGAAGGGUUCCACGUGAACAGUAGUUGGAUGUGGGUCAGUCGAUCCUAAGGUACUGGCGAAAGCCUUGUAUCAUCGGUGGCGAAAAGCUUGCUUUUUGUCCCCGCCCGUCGAAAGGGAAUAGGGUUAAUAUUCCCUAACUGAGAUGCAAAGAUUGUGUUCUUCGGAGCACAAGCGCGGUAACGCGUUCGAACUUGGUAAGUCGCUCAGAGACCGAGCUAGAGUUUUCUUCUCUAGUUAAGGAACGGACUCCCUGGAAUUGGUUCAGCCAGAGAUGGGGACGUUGUUUCCGUAAAGCACCGCGGUUUCUGUGGUGUCUCGUGCUCUCUGAACGGCCCUUUAAACACCAAGGGAGGCUAUUAAUUUGCACUCAAUCGUACCGAUAUCCGCAUUAGGUCUCCAAGGUGAACAGCCUCUAGUCGAUAGAAUAAUGUAGGUAAGGGAAGUCGGCAAACUAGAUCCGUAACUUCGGGAAAAGGAUUGGCUCCAGUGGUCGGAACGGUUGGCCAGUUGGUUGAUGCUUGUCCGGCGCUGUUCUGUCUGCUUGAUGCUUUCGGGCUGAUGGCGGCCUAGUGAUAGUGCUUGCUUGUUGACGCUUUCUGGUGUGUGCUUUGACCUCGGUCUUAGUAUCCUGAUCGUUCAUCUAAACGACUAAACUGGAACCGGUACGGACUCAGGGAAUCCGACUGUCUAAUUAAAACAGAGGUGACAGAUGGUCCUUGCGGACGCUGACUGUCACUGAUUUCUGCCCAGUGCUCUGAAUGUUAAAUCGUAGUAAUUCGAGUAAGCGCGGGUAAACGGCGGGAGUAACUAUGACUCUCUUAAGGUAGCCAAAUGCCUCGUCAUUUAAUUGUUGACGCGCAUGAAUGGAUUAACGAGAUUCCUACUGUCCCUAACUACUAUCUAGCGAAACCACAGCCAAGGGAACGGGCUUGGCAAAAAUAGCGGGGAAAGAAGACCCUGUUGAGCUUGACUCUAGUUUGACAUUGUGAAGAGUCAUGAGAGGUGUAGCAUAGGUGGGAGUCUUCGGACGCC
rnacentral:ncRNA from 1 species